rnacentral:piRNA from 1 species
UUUUUGUAAAAGUAGUGGCAU